rnacentral:rRNA from 1 species
UACGAAGGGGGCUAGCGUUGUUCGGAAUCACUGGGCGUAAAGCGCACGUAGGCGGAUCUUUAAGUCAGGGGUGAAAUCCCGAGGCUCAACCUCGGAACUGCCUUUGAUACUGGGGAUCUCGAGUCCGGGAGAGGUGAGUGGAACUGCGAGUGUAGAGGUGAAAUUCGUAGAUAUUCGCAAGAACACCAGUGGCGAAGGCGGCUCACUGGCCCGGUACUGACGCUGAGGUGCGAAAGCGUGGGGAGCAAACAGGAUA